UGCGAGUCGAGCGAGAAAUUCCUUCGGGAAUGAGUAGAGCGGCGGACGGGUGAGUACAAUAUGGAUAACCUACCCACAGGUCCGGGAUAACUUGGGGAAACCGAAGCUAAUACCGGAUAAGACCACGACAACUGCGGUUGUUGAGGUAAAAGUUUUUCGCCUAUGGAUGGGUCCAUGCUCCAUCAGGUUGUUGGUGAGGUAAAAGCUCACCAAGCCUAAGACGGAUAGCUGGCCUUAGCGGGUGAUCAGCCACACGGGGACUGAGACACGGCCCCGACUCCUACGGGAGGCAGCAGUGAGGAAUCUUGGGCAAUGGGCGCAAGCCUGACCCAGCCAUGCCGCGUGAGGGAAGAAGGCUUUCGAGUCGUAAACCUCUGUCGGGGGGGACGAUGGGACUUUUGUCUUGACGGUACCUCCAAAGGAAGCCCCGGCUAACUCCGUGCCAGCAGCCGCGGUAAUACGGAGGGGGCAAGCGUUGCUCGGAUUUACUGGGCGUAAAGGGUCCGCAGGCGGUCGGGCAAGUUAGAUGUGAAAGUUCAAGACUCAAUCUUGGAAUUGCAUCUAAAACUGCUUGACUAGAGCCCAAGAGAGGUUGGCGGAAUUCCCGGUGUAGCGGUGAAAUGCGUAUAUAUCGGGAAGAACAUCAGUGGCGAAGGCGGCCAACUGGCUUGGUACUGACGCUCAGGGACGAAAGCGUGGGUAGCGAACCGGAUUAGAUACCCGGGUAGUCCACGCCGUAAACGAUGGAUGCUAGGUGUGGGUAUUUUUUCUCCUUGCCAAAGCUAACGCAUUAAGCAUCCCGCCUGGGGAGUACGGUCGCAAGGCUGAAACUCAAAGGAAUUGGCGGGGACCCGCACAAGCGGUGGAGCACGUGGUUUUAAUUCGAUGAUAAGCGAAGAAUCUUACCAAGACUUGA
rnacentral:rRNA from 1 species